rnacentral:rRNA from 1 species
AUGGAUGCUGGCCACCCUAAGACAGACCCACAGGCCUUCUUCAGCGAGCUGACGGCUGCAUCCAUCAUGCGAAUCUACUACAACUUACAAGGUCGUCUGGGCACGUCCUCACAUUGGACAGUUUCACCCCGUUCGUGCGGCCGCUUGUCGGUGCCCCCGGGGGCAUUUUUGUCAUUUCACGCACAUGGGUAUAAAAGUGGCAGCUCCCGUGGAGAUAACCCUAGCCGCCUCACUCCCGCAUUAUUCCCCCUUGUCUCCUCCUCUCCCACUCGCGCCGCUCCCUAUCCUCUUCCUCCUGCCCCGCCUCUCUCUCCCCCACCAAACCCUAGGCUGCGCCCGCCUCGCUGCCUCGCCGCCGGCCGCCGCCGCUCGCCCGGGUACCCAUCCAUGACCUCACGCCGCCCUCUCCUCUUCCCUCUCGGCCUGUUCGCGCUCACGGAGGCCAACGCGGGCGCGCUGCUCUGGGUGGCGCGCCGCCUCCGCUGCCGGCAGGAGGUGGCCGCGGCGGCCGCCGGCGCAGCCGGGCGACCAGGAGCUCCUCGGCGAGCAAUCGUUCCCCUACGAGAAGAAGGUGAGGAGGACACGCCCCUCCAUCAAGAGAUGGCCAAGGCGGCCGCGCCGCUCUGGGUGGAGGGUCGCCUCCGCCGCCGGCAGGAUUGGGCCGCGGCGGCCGUCGCACCCUCGCUCGCGCCUCCGCCCCGCGCCUCCCCCACGCCCAGCUCCUGCCUUGCCGCCGCCUCCUCUCCCCUCCCGCGCGCCUCCUCUCCCCUCCCCUCCCCUCCCCUUGUCGCCGCCUCCUCGGCCAAGGCGCCAAGCAGCAGCGAGCCCCGACAUCUCCGCCACCGCGCAGCACAGCGCCGAGCUCGCCGAGCUCCGUUGCGUCCUCUCCUCCCGCCGGAUUCGCCGCUCACGGCCACCAUCGCUCACCCGCGACCUUGCCCGUGGUUAGGGUUUCGGGUGUUCGUCACCGGUGGCCAUGGGGCUGCGCCUCCUCUCUGCAUCUGCAGCAGAGGCAAGGAGCGGGGACGAGCCUCCUCCCAUUUACUCUGUGUGUGUGUGUGUGUUCAUCUGCUCGAGAACUGGAUCCCGAGGGGCAAAGGUGCAACCCUGCAGAGCCGCUUGAUCCCAAAAUUAAAGUUUCAGUUACUAUUGUUCAGAUGUGAUUGGCCUGGCAGCAGCUCGGGCCUGCUGAAGAAUGAAGACACAACAACAGGGGGAGGGAGAUCGGAAUGCUUCAGGAUCCUGAAAUAUGAUGUUAAACCUGAGCAUUUAUCCAAACAAGGCAAUUUACUAGAGCAGUUCAAGCAAGAAUACUUCCAGAAUCCAUCUUGUGAUCUGUUGUCACUAUGGCUGAGCAGGCAUCAAGUCAAGCAAAGGGGAUUUUAUGGUUGCAGCCGAGACCAGUGCUUAGGAGAAAUCGACUGGACAGAUGAAGUAUCCAUAUACGAGAUAAAACCAGUGACAAUCCAUCUAAUACCAUGGGUCCACAUGAUGAGAAGGAUAUUUGCAUACCAGGGAAAGCGUCACAUAAGAGCCAUGUUUCCUCCAUGCUUCUACAUGAUAAUUAGGAUGCAGGCAACUGUCAAGGGACGAAAGUUACUCUGUCUGCACCAUGUCAGGAGGGUGCUUUUGGAUGUCGACUUCAUUUAUUUCAUAUGCACUGUUGCAGGGGCCGCAGCUGCCACCAUUCCUGUCCAAGACGUACGAUCUCGAAGGCGAGCCGCAGCUGGACGGGGUCAUCUCCUGGGGUCCUUCGUCGUGUGGAAUCCUUCCACCUUUGACCGGGACGUGCUCCCGCACAACUUCAAGCACAAGAAGUUCUCCAGCUUCGUCAGCCAGCUCAACACCUACGUGUGUAUCGUAUCACUGUCCAAUCCUCUGUUCUCAUCUUUCUUUUCUUUUACAAUCUCUCACUGGAUUAUUAUUCAUGAUGCCGUCCUCUGCUGGGGAGGCACUCUGUUUCUGUUUGGAGUUGAUCCUGUGAUGGCAAGCUUAACCAUUUGCUGGGAUGCGACGCUGCUCGCGCUCAAAUGUGAAUGA